CUUCCAGACUCCUACGGGAGGCAGCAGUGGGGAAUAUUGCACAAUGGGGGAAACCCUGAUGCAGCGACGCCGCGUGAGCGAUGAAGUAUUUCGGUAUGUAAAGCUCUAUCAGCAGGGAAGAAAAUGACGGUACCUGACUAAGAAGCCCCGGCUAACUACGUGCCAGCAGCCGCGGUAAUACGUAGGGGGCAAGCGUUAUCCGGAUUUACUGGGUGUAAAGGGAGCGUAGACGGUCCUGCAAGCCAGAUGUGAAAGCCCGGGGCUCAACCCCGGUACUGCAUUGGAAACUGUCGGACUUGAGUGUCGGAGGGGUAAGUGGAAUUCCUAGUGUAGCGGUGAAAUGCGUAGAUAUUAGGAGGAACACCAGUGGCGAAGGCGGCUUACUGGACGAUUACCGACGCUGAGGCUCGAAAGCGUGGGGAGCAAACAGGAUUAGAUACCCUGGUA
rnacentral:rRNA from 1 species